AAGGGAGGCCCUCUGCUUGACAGACAGCUGUGCUACUAUGAAGAUCAGCUGGAUAAUGACCAAAGUCUAGAGGCCAUCUCUUUGAUGAAUCAUACAAGUGAAAGUGAGGUCAUCAUGCAGAAGAUGAGGGCAACGCUUGAAUACAGACAGCGCCUUGUCCAUGAUCCAGAGAGGUCCACCACUGUUCUUUCAGUUUUUCCUUGAUUUCUGGAUACUAAAGGAUUGAUUCUUCAAGACUUCACGCUCCUCUUUGGGUCUGAAACUGCUUCCAGACUUUUGGAAAGGUGGCCAACAGCUUUCAAAGCAAUCAUCUUCCAAUCUGAACAGAGAAGGCAGUGAAGCCCAGGAUUCUCCAGAAUGGGACAGUGACAUAUCUUCCUUCCUUCCUUCCUUCUACUCCUGCAUCUUUUAUGACCCCAGGCUUCAGGAAGAAAGAAAACCCAAAAGAUCAGUAUCUCUCAGGCUGUUGACCAAGAUGGCGCCGCGAAUGGCAGCCUCAGUGCUUAGCUCUCAAGUGCUCGUAUUGUUUUUGUUAGUUUUUCCUGUUUUUUGUUUAUCAAACCCCAUCGUUUUUACCAGGGAGGAACUGCUGAACAUUCGGCAGACCACUCCACAAAACAUUUCACCGGUUUUUGAUUAU